rnacentral:tRNA from 1 species
GCGCCCGUAGCUCAACUGGAUAGAGCAUCAGAUUCCGGUUCUGAAGGUUAGGGGUUCAAGUCCCUUCGGGCGUG